rnacentral:rRNA from 1 species
GACGAACGCUGGCGGCGUGCUUAACACAUGCAAGUCGAGCGGUAAGGCCCUUUCGGGGUACGACGAGCGGCGAACGGGUGAGUAACACGUGGGUGACCUGCCCUCAGCUCUGGGAUAAGCCUGGGAAACCGGGUCUAAUACCGGAUAUGACUCCAUGACGCAUGUUGUGGGGUGGAAAGCCUUGUGCGGCUGAGGAUGGGCCCGCGGCCUAUCAGCUUGUUGGUGGGGUGAGGCCUACCAAGGCGACGACGGGUAGCCGGCCUGAGAGGGCGACCGGCCACACUGGGACUGAGACACGGCCCAGACUCCUACGGGAGGCAGCAGUGGGGAAUCUUGCGCAAUGGGCGAAAGCCCUGACGCAGCGACGCCGCGUGAGGGAUGACGGCCU